GGAGUCCUCUCUGCUCCUCACUCUCCCUCUUUCUGAUCGUCAUUCUGUGGAGAGAGAGAGAGAGACUUCAUACUAUUUUAGGACCCCAUCACUUUUCAAAAACCUGGUGGAGAACCCUGCCAAAGCUCCGGGGCUGGGGGAGGGGAGGCUGGGCAAUCUGAGCCCGGGGCAGGCUGGGUGUCUGGGAAGCCAGGUUACAACCGCCAGCUGCAAAGUUCGGGCGCAAAUCGCUCCGCACCCUUGACUUCACCAGCCCACUCAGGCCCAACUCGACCCGGUCCGACCCGACAGGCCCACCUCCUCCUUGGCACGCCCAGCCGCCGUUCCUCCCCACCCGUCACUUAGGACUCUGCACACCAGGCACCAUGUAAAAUUGUUGUGUUUCUGGAAACACACCACACGCCGAGAAGCCUUGAAAUUCUUCUUGGAACCGCUGGUCCUUCCCAGGCGUGCUGUUGCCAUGGGAACCUGCAGAGGCUGCCUCGCUCUGGGGGAGAAAGGGCUUUGUUGAUGAAAGCCGAAGAAUCCCACCACUGCUGUUCCAGCCACUACAAUAGGGGGCUAGCUCUCACAACUCCAGAAUGCAGCCAGCCACUGGGGGCCGCCUGUCUGUGGAGGUUCCCACGCACCCCACCUGCUGCCCCGUGCUCAGUGGGUCCCUAAGUGAGCAGCCGUGACUCGAAGACGAUGACGUGUCUGCAGAGCGUGUACACUUGGCUUUGUGGGACAGAUGGGCAAACUGAGGCCUCAGACGCACAAGUGAGUUCCGGAGUCCUGCAGCCAGUAAAACAGAAGCGUCAUCCUUUGAAGUGUGCCAUGGCCUAGAAACGCUGGGGACCACAUGGAAGCAAGGUGCAGGACGGGGAGGACCCAGGAGCUGGUCUCCAGAACAGGUGUAUGCCAUCUAAUUCCCCAUUCAGAGGACAGUCUACGUCAGUGACUCUCAACCUUCCUAACGCUGUGACCCUUUAGUACACGUUGUGUUGACCCCCAACCAUAAAAUUAUUUUGUGCUACUUCAUAACUACAUUUUUGCUACUGUUAUGACUUGUAAUGUAAAUACUGUUAUGCAGGGUAUCUAGUAUGCGAUCCCUGUAAAAGGGUUGAUUGAGCCCCAAGGGGGUCAUGAACCACAGGUUGAGAACCACUUGUCUAAGAGGACAAAAAACCAGCCCAUCUCCUCCUGUUAAAAUUCCGC